UUAUACAUAGAGGCGAGAUCAUGUGAGAAAGGAAUUUAGGUGAGAAAUGAGAAUGAAUCACUGCCUUUAGAUUAGAUCCUAUCAACGGCCAAGAUUUAAAAAUUAAUAUUAACUUUAAACUACCUUUUUCAUUCCUUCCAUUCAAAAACCUAAUUUCUCUCUCCUCUCUUCUCCUUCUUCCUGAGUACGUCGUCUAUUUCCUCCCAUCUCCUACUGCACAUCUCUCUUGAAAUCUCCCUUUGUCAAAGAAGUUCAUGGAAUCCAACACCGCAUCAAAGGAAGAAUAUCCAUUUAUUGAAGUAACCUGGGACACUGAUCAGGAAGGUACCUGUUGCAAGAAAAAGUCGUUGUUCUUCGGUUAGAAAUCAUGGCAAUGAUGUUGGCAAGACUGCUUGGUUGAAGUUAGGCAAGGGCACAAUCGUGAAAAUACUGUACUUUCAGUUUUAUUCUGUGGCUCUGUGUUUGUUAAUAUAGUUUUAUUAUUUUUGGGAAUUUUACAUCUACAAUAAGAAGUAACUUAGAAGUGUUGAACAACCUUUUGAGGAUUAUUGUAAUGUAUGUUGCUUCAACUACAAAUGGGUUGCCCACUGGCCACUUGUAAUUA